rnacentral:rRNA from 2 species
CUCUCUCGACAAUCGGCUCUCGCAUCGAUGAAGAACGUAGCAAAAUGCAAUACUUGGUGUGAAUUACACAAUCCCGUGAACCAUCAAGUCUUCAAAUGUAAGUUGUGCUCGAUGCCAUUAGGCAGAGGGCACAUCUGCCUGGGCGUCA